UACGAAGGGGGCUAGCGUUGCUCGGAAUCACUGGGCGUAAAGCGCACGUAGGCGGACUCUUAAGUCAGGGGUGAAAUCCUGGAGCUCAACUCCAGAACUGCCUUUGAUACUGGGAGUCUUGAGUUCGGGAGAGGUGAGUGGAACUGCGAGUGUAGAGGUGAAAUUCGUAGAUAUUCGCAAGAACACCAGUGGCGAAGGCGGCAUCCUGGACCGACAUUGACGCUGAGGAGCGAAAGCUAGGGGAGCAAACGGG
rnacentral:rRNA from 1 species